AUGUUUUGAAUAAGAAAUUCGCAAAUGGAGAUAUCCAAUACAUCACUUUUGUAAAACAGUUGUAUUAAUUGGCGGUAAAAAUCUAACUGAUACAAUUAAAAAUAUUUCGCUCUUGUAAGUAAUUAGCAAAAGUUUAUGUUGAAUUUGAACAUUUAUAACAGUACAGCAUUUAUCUUCUUUUUUAUAUAUGUAGACUGUCAACAGACACUAUUUUGUCAGAAUACAGCAUGAAUUGUCUAAAAAAGAAAAAAAAGUUUAAAGAGUUGACAUGUCUAUGUUACGCUGUCACUGAAGAUGCUUUAAAGUCAAAUAAAAACUUAACCAAAAUGGAUGCCAUCCAACUUAUUGGGAGAGUAAUUAGGCAUUCUUCUGACCGAAUAAAGAGAACAUCAACUAAUAUGAAUUUUGAUCAAUAAUGGCUUAAUUAACUGUUGUGUUUUUUUUUUUUUUUUUUCCAUUUUUAAGCAAUUUUCUUCUAUUAAUAAUGCACUAUCGAUUAUAUUCUACAGU